CCUACUCUUAAUAGAAGCCCAGAUUAGAUGUGUUUUCCUUACAGACGACACUUUGCAUGGGUUCUCACAACAUGUUGCUAGAAGAAUUAACUGCUUCCUGUGUGACUCCACUGGGAGAAACUCUCAGAACUUUGCAGUUGGUUUUCUCUGGAGUGCAUGUAUUUUUUUUUCCUCUUGUUAAAUUUGCUUUGCAUCCUUUUACUGUAAUAAACUAUAACUGUGGGUAUAAUGACUUCUGAGACCUGUGAGUCCUAGUGAAUCACCAAAUUGGGACUGUGUAACAUGUUAUUAUUCAGAAAAUAUUCACUCUUCUCCCUCAACUUCCAUAAGAAUAGUAGCUUUCCAUCUGAUUGAUAUUGAACUUGGCCACCUGCUUUUGCCAUUGGCAUGUGGAUAGAAGCAACUUUGUGCCAGCUCGAAGCUUAUACCUCAGAGGCAUGAUUUGUUUGCUGUUCUCGGAACGUUUGAAUUCCUCCGUACAAAGAAUACAAUUCAGGAAGCUGUUGACUCCUAUCAGUCUGGGCCACAGAGGAGAUUGCUUGAAAGACUCAUAACUUGAAGAGUCCCUGACAGAAAUUGCUGAAUGUCACUUCUGCUCACCAUGGGCUGGAAUGAUCCACAUGACCUCAUCUCACUGUAUGGAAGAAUGGAGAACGGGAGGAGUGUAUGGAAGUCAACCAGAAUUAAGUUUCUGCCACAUGUGUGCCAUGAAAAAAAGCAGAGUUAACAGACUGUGACGAUUGCUGCUUUUCUUAGUGAAGAUUCUGUAAAGAUCCAAGUGCCCUUUCCCAGAAGAUAGACCGUGCAUAUUUAAAAUGGAAAGAGAACAUGCAAUAUUUGCAAAUUUCCUGGGAAAAUCCUUCAUCUAAAAGUUGCUGAACAUUGUUUGGAACCAGGAAAAGGGAACUGAAGCUGCUUUGCAAAACAAUGUGGUGUACCCAUUUCCAGAAAGGAAAGCUAUACAAAUUAGGUUAUAUUGAUGAACAAUUUUCCAUUUAUCAUUAAAAAAAUUAGACUGUUCCUCCAAGAAUUAUUGUUUAUCAUUGGUACAUGUGUGUCUGUUCUGGAAGUUCAUGCAUUCAUCCAUUCAUUUGGCAAAUAUUUUUUUGUGCCUGCUAUGUAGUUGCCAGAAAUAAAGUAACAAACAAACAUCACAAAAACAAUCACCAUUAUGAAGAUUUUUCAU